CUCCUCCGCUGGCUCCUCGGACCCGCCCGCGCCCUCCGUACCCGUCGUGCCCUCCCGCGCCGUAUGCGCACCCUCCGUGACUGCCGCUUCCUCCGGGCUCUCCUCGCCGCACGACUCCGAGCGCGGGGAGCUACUAGCCGUCAAUAGAAAGAACGCACACUUAGCUAAAGGAGAACAGUAUGAGCGCCGAAGAAUUACCUGCACGGGUUUCACGGAUUGAUCAAAACGGAAUACGAAACGCAGCUCGUCCCAGAAGCGCGCGGCGAACGUGUUUCCGCGCUGCGCGGGCCGCUUGGAGCGCAGCGCGGCGUACGCGAGGUCGGCGCAGGACACCACCACGCCUAACGCGCACCCCACCACCAGCACCAGGAACAACCCCCAGAAGUUUGCCAUGCGCAGCUUUUCGUUCUCGUACUCCUCCACGUCCUGCGGGAGUGGCAGCGUCAUCAACACCUCCGACAAACAGUGCGAAUGCUAUAAGUGUACAGACGCCGUGGCAGAGACCUUGCAAGCGCCGCCUCCGUUCCUCUCGUUCCACCAGGUGUUGAUCAUCUCGCGCAGCGUGCCCGCUUCCUGUAGAUUCAGCAGCGCCAGGUUGAGCCCUUGCCGGUAACGCGAGUCUAUAAACGAAUGUUUAGGAAAUAGGUAUACAUAUGAUUGUUCUCGAAACAUAAAACAAAUAAUCAGAGAUCAUUAAAUAAUAAUAUAUAACUCUAUUAAAAAAAACUCCAUUUAAAAGAACGACGCACCGCCGCCCCUUUGGCUGGGUCCGGGGGUGCGCGCGCACCGUCCGCCGAGACAAUUUAUCGGCGCCCCGCAGUUAAGCGGAACACAUCAUGCAACUGGCAUUUUGUAAUGACUCAUUGUAAAUGUCUAUAUUAUUUUUUUUAGUAAAUGAUUACGAAUGUUA